rnacentral:rRNA from 1 species
UAGGGAAUCUUCCGCAAUGGGCGAAAGCCUGACGGAGCAACGCCGCGUGAGUGAUGAGGGUCUUCGGAUCGUAAAACUCUGUUAUUAGGGAAGAACAAAUGUGUAAGUAACUAUGCACGUCUUGACGGUACCUAAUCAGAAAGCCACGGCUAACUACGUGCCAGCAGCCGCGGUAAUACGUAGGUGGCAAGCGUUAUCCGGAAUUAUUGGGCGUAAAGCGCGCGUAGGCGGUUUUUUAAGUCUGAUGUGAAAGCCCACGGCUCAACCGUGGAGGGUCAUUGGAAACUGAAAACUUGAGUGCAGAAGAGGAAAGUGGAAUUCCAUGUGUAGCGGUGAAAUGCGCAGAGAUAUGGAGGAACACCAGUGGCGAAGGCGACUUUCUGGUCUGUAACUGACGCUGAUGUGCGAAAGCGUGGGGAUCAAACAGG